UUCUGAUAAAUAUUAGACAUGUUUUAUUCGACAAACUAUAAAUGAAAAGUCAACAGUCAAAGUUUAAAGCGGAAAAAACAUUUUAAUUUAAAAAAAAGUUUAACAGUAACUUCCACUAGUCACCAUUCAGUUAGCCUGACUUCAGAUCAGUUCAUACGAACAUGAUGAGAUAACCUUCUAUACAUCAGGGAAGUGUCCCAAAUUAACCCCUAUUCCCUUUAUAGUGAACUACGUAUGCCCAGGGCCAUAAGACUCUGGUCAAACGUUGUGCAAUAUAUAGUGAAUAGGGUUUAAUUUGGGACACUUCAGAGUUUCGACACCUUAUAGCCAUAGAUCAGGGAAAUAGAAUAUACUGCAGCAUCAUCUAUGUACAAAAACAGAUUCACAGAGAACCUGCAUCAGAGAGAGAGAGCCUGCAUCACAUUAACAGAAAACACAGAAUAUAUACAAAUAUCUGAGGUGGUUAUUCCAGUGGUUCCAUUAUACAUAAACAAACGAUAUCCAGCUCAGCUUAAGUAUUUAAAAUAAUUUGACAAAGUAUCCCCCAAGAAGGUUAAGUCCAGUUGUAACCUUUAGCUAAAUGCUAACAGAGCUAGCAGUCUCAGUGGUAGUCUUUAGCUCGAUACUAAAAGAGCUAGCAUGAACUAAACUCAGGUUGUAACCAUGAGCUAGCAGGGUCUCAGAUGGUGGCUGACUCCUGCCCGGUCUUCUCCUCUGCCUCCCCUCCUCCCUCCUCCUCUUUAUUCUUCCUGUGCUUCUUCUUCUUGUUCUUGUGUUUGUGUUCCUUCCUUCCUUCGGCGGGAGGCUCAGCGUCGGCAGAAUGCUUCUUGUGCUUCUUGUGUUUUUUAUGUUUCUUGUGUUUCUUCUUCUUCUUCUUGUCCGUCGCGGUGGAGCCGCUGUGGUUGCUAGGGGAGCCGCCGGGGCUCUGGGAGGCGGGGCUCUGGGUGUUGUGGGAGGGGCUAUGGCUCAGGCCACUGCCUCUCUCCCCGUCUGACCCCUCCCCUUCACUGUAGUCGGGGACGAAGGCUGCCUCGUCCGUCUCUCUACCCAGGUCAGAACACAGACGCUGUCGCCUUGGCUCUGGCCCCGUCCCUCGACUCUCCUCCCUCCCUACCCCUCCUCUUCCUUCCUCCUUCACCCCUCUGGAUUCGGUCUUAGCUGGUUUUCUAAAGUUCACCUGCCCCUUUUUAAGCCCUCUGCCUUCCUCCCUCCUUCUAGUCCCCUCCUCCCUCCCUCUCUUCCCCUCUGUGGUGCUGGUGAGACUUCUCUCCUCAGAGCGUCUCUGGGCAAGGAGGAGGAAACCGCCAACGCCCCGUUCUCCCUGGACCCUGAGUGCUGCUCCUCUUCCUCCUCCUCCUCCUCUCUCUCCCACUUGGACCGGGGUGGAGGCUGGAUGAGGACUCCUCCGGUCCCACGGUCCCUCUCCCUGCCUGGGCUGGGGAACUGGACGGGACUGGGUCUCCUCUGGGUCUGGAGGUCCCGGGGUUUAGACACAGCACCCUGGCUCUGGCCCGGCUCAGACCUCUCCUCUACAGCCCUACUGCUGCUGGAACACACAAUACACAGAUCCAAGAUCAGGGGUUAGAGAGAACAUCAACUAGGAAGCAUUAUAACCAUGUUAUAUACACAGAUCUAGGAUCAGGGGUUAGAGAGAACAUCAACUAGGAAGCAUUAUAACCAUGUUAUAUACACAGAUCUAGGAUCAGGGGUUAGAGAGAACAUCAACUAGGAAGCAUUAUAACCAUGUUAUAUACACAGAUCUAGGAUCAGGGGCUAGAGAGAACAUCAACUAGGAAGCAUUAUAACCAUGUUAUAUACACAGAUCUAAGAUCAGGGGCUAGAGAGAACAUCAACUGGGAAACCAUUAUAACUAAUGUUCCCUCUAAUUUGUUUCGGCACUGAGCAAAUUUCAGGUCUGCCGAGCGCAAACUUGAAUGUUAUGAAAACACCGUGCAACUUCCGGUGCCCGUUUACCGUGAAGGCCCUGCCCGUUAACCGUGAAG
rnacentral:lncRNA from 1 species